UACGAAGGGGGCUAGCGUUGUUCGGAUUUACUGGGCGUAAAGCGCACGUAGGCGGAUCGAUCAGUCAGGGGUGAAAUCCCGGGGCUCAACCCCGGAACUGCAUUGGAUACUGCCUUGCUAGAGUACUGGAGAGGGAACUGGAAUUUACGGUGUAGCAGUGAAAUGCGUAGAGAUCGUAAGGAAGGCCAGUGGCGAAGGCGAGUUCCUGGACAGUUACUGACGCUGAGGCACGAAGGCCAGGGGAGCAAACGGG
rnacentral:rRNA from 1 species